GACGAACGCUGGCGGCGUGCUUAACACAUGCAAGUCGAGCGAUGAAGCUCCUUCGGGAGUGGAUUAGCGGCGGACGGGUGAGUAACACGUGGGUAACCUGCCUCAUAGAGGGGAAUAGCCUUUCGAAAGGAAGAUUAAUACCGCAUAAGAUUGUAGUUUCGCAUGAAACAGCAAUUAAAGGAGUAAUCCGCUAUGAGAUGGACCCGCGUCGCAUUAGCUAGUUGGUGAGGUAACGGCUCACCAAGGCGACGAUGCGUAGCCGACCUGAGAGGGUGAUCGGCCACAUUGGGACUGAGACACGGCCCAGACUCCUACGGGAGGCAGCAGUGGGGAAUAUUGCACAAUGGGGGAAACCCUAAUGCAGCAACGCCGCGUGAGUGAUGACGGUCUUCGGAUUGUAAAGCUCUGUCUUCAGGGACGAUAAUGACGGUACCUGAGGAGGAAGCCACGGCUAACUACGUGCCAGCAGCCGCCGUAAAAC
rnacentral:rRNA from 1 species